AUACGUAGGUGGCAAGCGUUGUCCGGAUUUACUGGGUGUAAAGGGAGCGCAGGCGGGGAAGCAAGUCAGUUGUGAAAACUAUGGGCUUAACUCAUAGAUUGCAGUUGAAACUGUUUCUCUUGAGUGGAGUAGAGGUAAGCGGAAUUCCGAGUGUAACGGUGAAAUGUGUAGAGAUUCGGAGGAACACCAGUGGCGAAGGCGGCUUACUGGGCUCUAACAGACGCUGAGGCUCGAAAGUGUGGGGAGCAAACAGGAUUAGAUACCCUGGUAGUCCACUCUGUAAACGAUGAUUACUAGGUGUGGGAGGUCUGACCCCUUCCGUGCCGCAGUUAACACAAUAAGUAAUCCCCCUGGGGAGGACGACCGCACGGUGGAAACUCAAAUGAAGUGACGGGG
rnacentral:rRNA from 1 species